rnacentral:rRNA from 1 species
UACGUAGGGCGCAAGCGUUGUCCGGAAUUAUUGGGCGUAAAGAGCUCGUAGGUGGCUUGUCGCGUCUGCCGUGAAAGCCCAUGGCUUAACUGUGGGUCUGCGGUGGAUACGGGCAGGCUGGAGGCUGGUAGGGGCAAGCGGAAUUCCUGGUGUAGCGGUGAAAUGCGCAGAUAUCAGGAAGAACACCUAUGGCGAAGGCAGCACUCUGGGACGGUACUGACGCUGAGACGCGAAAGCGUGGGGAGCGAACAGG